rnacentral:tRNA from 1 species
GCUUUCGUGGUGUAACUGGAAACAUACUCGACUGGUAUUCGAGAGAUCCAGGGUCGAAUCCCGGUGAGAGCA